rnacentral:rRNA from 1 species
UACGGAGGGUGCAAGCGUUGUUCGGAAUCACUGGGCGUAAAGCGCGUGUAGGUGGUCUUUUAAGUCUGGUGUGAAAGCCCGGGGCUUACCCCCGGAAGGGCACUGGAUACUGGGAGACUCGAGUACCGGAGAGGAAGGUGGAAUUCCUGGUGUAGCGGUGAAAUGCGUAGAUAUCAGGAGGAACACCGGUGGCGAAGGCGGCCUUCUGGACGGCUACUGACGCUGAGACGCGAAAGCGUGGGGAGCGAACAGG